UAAGAUUUCAUGAAAGGCCUAGGA
rnacentral:piRNA from 1 species